GACCUGGUGGUGCAUGGUGCACACCCACUUUCCUUACAAUGGCUAGUGGUACAAAAAGAUUCACGUGGGAGGUCCUCGUUCGAACCGGGGUCAGGUCA